CAGGGAGUAGUUUAGAGAGAAUAUCAGCUUUGGGAGUUGAAGGCGGAAUUUGUAUUUCUUCCCUGA
rnacentral:tRNA from 1 species